ensembl:lncRNA
UCUAUAGGACCCCAUGAGACCCCAUAGAACCCCAUAGAACUCUAUAGGGCCCCAUAGAACCCCAUAGAAGCCGAUGGGACCCCACAGAACCCAAUUGAACUCUAUAGAACCCCAUAGAACCCCUCAGAAUCCCAUAGAACUCUAUAAGACCCCAUAGAACCCCAUAGUAACCACUGGGACCCCACAGAACCCCAUAGAUCUCUAUAGGAUCCCACAGAACCCCAUAGAAGCCAAUGGGACCCCACAGAACCCCACAGAACUCUAUAGGACCCCAUAGAACCCGAUGGGACCCCACAGAACCCCAUAGACCUCUAUAGGACCCCAGAGAAUCCCAUAGAACUUUAUGGGACCCCACAGAAUCCCAUAGAACUCUAUAGGAACCCACAAAAGCCACAAAACUCUAUAGGACCCCAAUGGAACCGCAGAACCCUACAGGAUCCCACAGAACCCCACGGAACACUAUAGGAUCCCAUAGGACCCCAUAACCCCACAGAACCCCCCAGAACCCUAUAGGAUCCCAUAGGACCCCCAGAACCCCCCAGAACCCCCCAGGACCCCAUAGAACCCCACAGGACCCAGAGAACCCCAUAAAACCCCACAGAACCCCCCAAACCCCACAGAACCCCAUAGGGUUCUGUGGGGUUCCGGAGGUCCUAUGGGAUCCUAUAGGAUUCACGGGGGUUCUAUGGGGAUCUAUGGGGUUCUGUGGGCUUCUAUGGGGUCCUAUGGGAUCCUAUAGGGUUCUGUAGGGUACGAUAGGGUUCUAUGGGGUCCUAUGGGAUCCUAUAGGGUCCUAUGGGGUUCCGUGGGGUUCUAUGGGGUUCUGUGAGGUCCGAUAGGGCCUAUGGGGUGCUAUGGGGGUCCUAUAGGUGUCCUAAGGGCUCUUAUAGGGUUCUGUGGGGUUGUGGCGCUCCUAUGGGAUCCUAUGGGGUUCUGUGGGCUUCUAUGGGGUCCUAUGGGAUCCUAUAGGGUUCUGUGGGGUCCUAUGGGGUUCUGUGGGGUCUAUGGGGUCCUAUGGGGGUCCUUUAGGGGUCUAUGGGGUUCUAUAGGGGUCCUAUGGGGGUCUAUGGGGUUCUAUGGGGGUCCUAUAGGGGUCUACGAGGUUCUGUGGGAUCCUAUGGGAUCCUAUGGGAUCCUAUAGGGUUCUGUGGGGUCCUAUGGGGUCCUAUGGGGUUCUGUGGGGGUCCUAUAGGGUUCUGUGGGGUUCUAUGGGGUCCUAUGGGGGUCUAUGGGGUUCUGUGGGUUCCUAUGGGGUUCUGUGGGGUCUAUGGGGUCCUAUGGGGGUCCUAUAGGGGUCAAUGGGGUUCUGUGGGAUCCUAUGGAGUCCUAUGGGGGUCCUAUAGGGGUCUAUGGGGUUCUGCGGGAUCCUAUAGAGGUCAAUGGGGUUCUGUGGGAUCCUAUAGGGUUCUGUGGGGUCCUAUGGGGUUCUGUGGGGGUCCUAUGGGGGUCUAUGGAGUCCUAUGGGGGUCCUAUAGGGGUCUAUGGGGUUCUGCGGGAUCCUAUAGAGGUCAAUGGGGUUCUGUGGGAUCCUAUAGGGGUCUAUGGGUUCCUCUGGGUGUCCUAUAGCGAUCAAUGGGAUUCGACGGCGUUUUGGGACCCCCC